rnacentral:rRNA from 1 species
AACGAACGCUGGCGGCAGGCUUAACACAUGCAAGUCGAACGGCAGCACGGGAGCAAUCCUGGUGGCGAGUGGCGAACGGGUGAGUAAUAUAUCGGAACGUGCCCAGUCGUGGGGGAUAACGUAGCGAAAGCUACGCUAAUACCGCAUACGAUCUACGGAUGAAAGCGGGGGAUCGCAAGACCUCGCGCGAUUGGAGCGGCCGAUAUCAGAUUAGGUAGUUGGUGAGGUAAAGGCUCACCAAGCCGACGAUCUGUAGCUGGUCUGAGAGGACGACCAGCCACACUGGGACUGAGACACGGCCCAGACUCCUACGGGAGGCAGCAGUGGGGAAUUUUGGACAAUGGGCGCAAGCCUGAUCCAGCAAUGCCGCGUGCAGGAUGAAGGCCUCGGUUGUAAC